UGCGCAGGCGGUUAUGUAAGACAGAGGUGAAAUCCCCGGGCUCAACCUGGGAACUGCCUUUGUGACUGCAUAGCUAGAGUACGGCAGAGGGGGAUGGAAUUCCACGUGUAGCAGUGAAAUGCGUAGAUAUGCGGAGGAACACCGAUGGCGAAGGCAGUCCCCUGGGCCUGUACUGACGCUCAUGCACGAAAGCGUGGGGAGCAAACAGGAUUAGAUACCCUGGUAGUCCACGCCCUAAACGAUGUCAACUGGUUGUUGGGUCUUAGCUGACUCAGUAACGAAGCUAACGCGUGAAGUUGACCGCCUGGGGAGUACGGCCGCAAGGUUGAA
rnacentral:rRNA from 1 species